rnacentral:rRNA from 1 species
UGAGUAACACGUAUCCAAUCUGCCGUCUACUCUUGGCCAGCCUUCUGAAAGGAAGAUUAAUCCAGGAUGGCAUCAUGAGUUCACAUGUCCGCAUGAUUAAAGGUAUUUUCCGGUAGACGAUGGGGAUGCGUUCCAUUAGAUAGUAGGCGGGGUAACGGCCCACCUAGUCAACGAUGGAUAGGGGUUCUGAGAGGAAGGUCCCCCACAUUGGAACUGAGACACGGUCCAA